AUGAUUAGGAGCCUGCCGAUCCGCCCCAGACUGUAUCGAUGGAGCCCUACAUAAUACGACGUAGAACGAGCAAGUCUCUUUGCGGUGGAUGUCAAGAAGGCCCCAUGACUGGACUCGCUGCAAUUUGAGAAGGAUGUGAAUGUAAGGAAAUUCUUCUAUGUAAUAUUUGUAUAAUUUUUGUAAAUAAAAUGAAAUUUAAUAAAA